UACGUAGGGUGCGAGCGUUGUCCGGAAUUAUUGGGCGUAAAGAGCUCGUAGGCGGUUUGUCGCGUCUAUCGUGAAAACUAGCAGCUUAACUGUUGGCGUGCGGUGGAUACGGGCAGACUUGAGUUCGGGUAGGGGAGACUGGAAUUCCUGGUGUAGCGGUGAAAUGCGCAGAUAUCAGGAGGAACACCGGUGGCGAAGGCGGGUCUCUGGGCCGAUACCGACGCUGAGGAGCGAAAGCGUGGGGAGCGAACAGG
rnacentral:rRNA from 1 species